GACUAACAUGUAUAGUGGUUUGAGUGUUGGACUAUGACUCUGGAGAACAGGGUUCAAGUCCCUGCUUGGCCA